CACUCAACAGCAACGGCGCUGAUAUGCAGUAGAAAAGUUUUUUGUAUAAACUAAAGUAAACGCGAAACGCGCUUAACAUUUAAGAAGUGUUGAACAUAAAGUAAAUUUUAUAAGCGCUGCAGACCCAACUUAAUAUAAAAACAUCGGUCGGCUUGAUAUUAUUCUCAGAAAGUUCAUCAAGUGUAAAUUUUCCAACGUCGAAGAACAGAAGAAAAGAAAAUCACUCAUCACUAAAUAGCCAGAAAGAAAGUUGAAGCCAACGUUGGAUGUUGUCAAAGCUUGCAAUUGUAAGAUUCAUUGAAAAGAAAAAGCAGCGAAAAAAUUGCAAAUUCUAAAGUGAGAACAGAUAAAUAAAUAGAAAAUAUUUUU